GAGGGUACAGCUCAAGUGGUAGAGUAUUUGCUUAGCAUGCAUCAGGUCCUGGGUUCAAUCCCCAGUACCUCCU
rnacentral:tRNA from 1 species